rnacentral:rRNA from 1 species
AUUGAACGCUGGCGGCAUGCCUUACACAUGCAAGUCGAACGGCAGCACGGGUGCUUGCCCCUGGUGGCGAGUGGCGAACGGGUGAGUAAUACAUCGGAACAUGUCCUGUAGUGGGGGAUAGCCCGGCGAAAGCCGGAUUAAUACCGCAUACGAUCUACGGAUGACAGCGGGGGACCUUCGGGCCUCGCGCUAUAGGGUUGGCCGAUGGCUGAUUAGCUAGUUGGUGGGGUAAAGGCCUACCAAGGCGACGAUCAGUAGCUGGUCUGAGAGGACGACCAGCCACACUGGGACUGAGACACGGCCCAGACUCCUACGGGAGGCAGCAGUGGGGAAUUUUGGACAAUGGGCGAAAGCCUGAUCCAGCAAUGCCGCGUGUGUGAAGAAGGCCUUCGGGUUGUAAAGCACUUUUGUCCGGAAAGAAAUCCUUGGCCCUAAUACGGUCGGGGGAUGACGGUACCGGAAGAAUAAGCACCGGCUAACUAUGUG